rnacentral:misc_RNA from 1 species
GAAAUGCGAUAAGUAAUGUGAAUUGCAGAAUUCAGUGAUUCAUCGAAUCUUUGAACGCACAUUGCGCCCGCCAGUAUUCUGGCGGGCAUGCCUGUUCGAGCGUCAUUUCAACCAUCAAGCCCCCGGCUUGUGUUGGGGACCUGCGGCUGCCCGCAGGCCCUGAAAAACAGUGGCGGGCUCGCUGUCACACCGAGCGUAGUAGCAUACAUUCUCGCUCAGGGCGUGCUGCGGGUUCCGGCCGUUAAACGACCUUCAUAACCCAAGGUUGACCUCGGAUCAGGUAGGAAGACCCGCUGAACUUAAGC